AGAGUUUGAUCCUGGCUCAGAUUGAACGCUGGCGGCAUGCCUUACACAUGCAAGUCGAACGGCAGCGGACCUUCGGGUGCCGGCGAGUGGCGAACGGGUGAGUAAAGUAUCGGAACGUACCUUUCAGUGGGGGAUAACGUAGCGAAAGUUACGCUAAUACCGCAUAUUCUGUGAGCAGGAAAGCAGGGGAUCGCAAGACCUUGCGCUGAUUGAGCGGCCGAUAUCAGAUUAGCUAGUUGGUGGGGUAAAGGCCUACCAAGGCGACGAUCUGUAGCGGGUCUGAGAGGAUGAUCCGCCACACUGGGACUGAGACACGGCCCAGACUCCUACGGGAGGCAGCAGUGGGGAAUUUUGGACAAUGGGCGCAAGCCUGAUCCAGCCAUGCCGCGUGAGUGAAGAAGGCCUUCGGGUUGUAAAGCUUUUUCGGCCGGGAAGAAAUCGCAUGGGCUAAUACCCUGUGUGGAUGACGGUACCGGAAUAAGAAGCACCGGCUAACUACGUGCCAGCAGCCGCGGUAAUACGUAGGGUGCGAGCGUUAAUCGGAAUUACUGGGCGUAAAGCGUGCGCAGGCGGUUUUUUAGGAUAGGCGUGAAAUCCCCGGGCUCAACCUGGGAACCGCGCUUAUGACUGGAAGACUAGAGUAUGGCAGAGGGGGGUGGAAUUCCACGUGUAGCAGUGAAAUGCGUAGAGAUGUGGAGGAACACCGAUGGCGAAGGCAGCCCCCUGGGCCAAUACUGACGCUCACGCACGAAAGCGUGGGGGAGCAAACAGGAUUAGAUACCCUGGUAGUCCACGCCCUAA
rnacentral:rRNA from 1 species